rnacentral:rRNA from 1 species
CCCUUAGAUGUUCUGGGCUGCACGCGCGCUACACUGAUGCGCUCAACGAGUUUAUGAACUUGCCCGGAAGGGUUGGUUAAUCUUUUUAAAACGCAUCGUGAUGGGGAUAGAUUAUUGCAAUUAUUAAUCUUCAACGAGGAAUUCCUAGUAAGCGCGAGUCAUCAGCUCGUGCUGAUUACGUCCCUGCCCUUUGUACACACCGCCCGUCGCACCUACCGAUUGAAUGGUCCGGUGAAAUCUCGGGACGGCGGCUUGGUCGCUUGCGUCCGACUGCUGAAACUUGAUUAAACCAUAUCAUUUAGAGGAAGGUGAAGUCGUAACA